rnacentral:rRNA from 1 species
CCUACGGGAGGCAGCAGUAGGGAAUUUUCGGCAAUGGGGGGAACCCUGACCGAGCAACGCCGCGUGAACGAAGAAGUUAUUCGUAAUGUAAAGUUCUUUUAACAGGGAAGAAAGAGAAAUUUGACGGUACCUGAAGAAUAAGCUCCGGCUAACUACGUGCCAGCAGCCGCGGUAAUACGUAGGGAUCGAACGUUAUCCGGAAAUAUUGGGCGAAAAGGGUGCGUAGAUGGCAUAGUAAGUCUUUUGUAAAAAUGCUGGGCUCAACCCAGUAGGGCAAAAGAUACUGCAAAGCUAGAGUAUGACAGAGGCAAGUGGAACUACAUGUGUAGCAGUAAAAUGCGUAAAUAUAUGUAAGAACACCAGUGGCGAAGGCGGCUUGCUGGGUCGAUACUGACAUUGAGGCACGAAGGCGUGGGGAGCAAACAGGAUUAGAUACCCCAGUAGUC